rnacentral:rRNA from 1 species
GGGACACGUGGUAUCCUGUCUGAAUAUGGGGGGACCAUCCUCCAAGGCUAAAUACUCCUGACUGACCGAUAGUGAACCAGUACCGUGAGGGAAAGGCGAAAAGAACCCCGGCGAGGGGAGUGAAAAAGAACCUGAAACCGUGUACGUACAAGCAGUGGGAGCCUCUUAAUGGGGUGACUGCGUACCUUUUGUAUAAUGGGUCAGCGACUUAUAUUCUGUAGCAAGGUUAACCGAAUAGGGGAGCCGAAGGGAAACCGAGUCUUAACUGGGCGUUAAGUUGCAGGGUAUAGACCCGAAACCCGGUGAUCUAGCCAUGGGCAGGUUGAAGGUUGGGUAACACUAACUGGAGGACCGAACCGACUAAUGUUGAAAAAUUAGCGGAUGACUUGUGGCUGGGGGUGAAAGGCCAAUCAAACCGGGAGAUAGCUGGUUCUCCCCGAAAGCUAUUUAGGUAGCGCCUCGUGAAUUCAUCUCCGGGGGUAGAGCACUGUUUCGGCAAGGGGGUCAUCCCGACUUACCAACCCGAUGCAAACUGCGAAUACCGGAGAAUGUUAUCACGGGAGACACACGGCGGGUGCUAACGUCCGUCGUGAAGAGGGAAACAACCCAGACCGCCAGCUAAGGUCCCAAAGUCAUGGUUAAGUGGGAAACGAUGUGGGAAGGCCCAGACAGCCAGGAUGUUGGCUUAGAAGCAGCCAUCAUUUAAAGAAAGCGUAAU